rnacentral:tRNA from 1 species
GCGGAAGUGGCGGAAUUGGCAGACGCGCAGGAUUCAGGUUCCUGUGAGGUAAAACUCGUGGAGGUUCGAUUCCUCUCUUCCGCACUA